rnacentral:rRNA from 1 species
UACGUAGGGGGCGAGCGUUGUCCGGAUUUAUUGGGCGUAAAGAGCGUGUAGGCGGCCAGGUAGGUCGGCUGUGAAAACUCGAGGCUCAACCUCGAGACGUCGGCGGAAACCAUCUGGCUAGAGUCCGGAAGAGGAGAGUGGAAUUCCUGGUGCAGCGGUGAAAUGCGCAGAUAUCAGGAAGAACACCCGUGGCGAAGGCGGCUCUCUGGGACGGUACUGACGCUGAGACGCGAAAGCGUGGGGAGCGAACAGG